AAUAUUUCACAAUGGACGAAAGUCUGAUGCAGCAACGCCGCGUGAGGGAUGACGGNCUNNGGGUUNUNAACCUCUUUUAGUAANNNNNAAGCCUUCGGGUGACGGUACUUGCAGAAAAAGCACCGGCUAACUACGUGCCAGCAGCCGCGGUAAUACGUAGGGUGCAAGCGUUGUCCGGAAUUAGUGGGCGUAGAGAGCUCGUAGGCGGUUUGUCGCGUCUGCUGUGAAAACCCGGGGCUCAACCCCGGGCCUGCAGUGGGUACGGGCAGACUAGAGUGCGGUAGGGGAGAUUGGAAUUCCUGGUGUAGCGGUGGAAUGCGCAGAUAUCAGGAGGAACACCGAUGGCGAAGGCAGAUCUCUGGGCCGUAACUGACGCUGAGGAGCGAAAGCAUGGGGAGCGAACAG
rnacentral:rRNA from 1 species